rnacentral:misc_RNA from 1 species
CUCUUGCGACGCGCUCUGGACCUUCGCGGCCGUAAAAUCCGGCGCUCACCGAAUCGCUCGCUCGGCGGUUUGCGUGUUGCGCCCGGUGGCCCCGUGGUCUUAAGCACAAGCCGCGCCGUUGUCCGUGUUCGUCUCGGGACGUCCGCGACGCCGCCUUGCUCUCGGCGGCGGCCAAAUUUCCUCUCCGUCACCGCUAUGCGGGACCCGGCUCGCUCUCGCUAACGGGCCCGCUUAUAACCAGCUUCAGGGUGACGGGCGGAGGAGAGAAGCUUACGCUGACGCUCGAUCGACGAGUCGGCGCCCGUACGAAAAAAAUUGGAAAAAAAAUAACCGUGCGUUGCGCGUUAUUUUUUUUUUCCUUUCUUUCCGACCUCAGAUCGGACGAGAUUACCCCCUGAAUUUAAGCAUAGAAA